AAGAAGCGAACAUAAUCGAAGGUGGAAGAAGCCCUGCGAUGUGUUGGCAGAGGCCACACAAGAAGGGAUCACAAUCCGAGUUCAUCCUACAAUGAUCAGAAUGUAAUGGAGAUGCUACCAGGAGGCGACAUGGUGCAGCAGAUCGUGGUGGAAUAAUUCGUGACAAUGCGAUAUACACAAAACUAGUCCCGCGAGGGACUAGAUCAUACGAAGAUAUGAUUGGGAGCUCAACUUCGGUAAAUAAUACGAUGACAAGACAUCCUUGGUGUCUCAAGUUUAAGGACCAGAUACAACACUAGGACAAUUGAAUCACUGUUUGACAAUUAGAUAUAAUCAACAAUCCAACGUUUCAUGAGCGGAUCAAUUAGUGAACUCAUUCUCUAAUGAGCACCUGCGUUGUAUCCCUAGUGUCCCCACACGAGUAACUAUGAGACAUGUGGCCUCCGUUAUAUGGAUGGAUGUACAACAUCCUGGUCUAUUUGGUCAUCUCGAUGUCCCUCUCGAGUAACCUUUAACUCCAUCUCGAGUAACCUAUGACUGAGAUUAUUUAGGGUUUAUAUUUAAAAACGAAUCUGUCUCAUUAUCGUGAUCUUAUCACGAUCCAAUUUCUAUUGCAUAGAUCUAUAGACAUCACAAUACAUACAACAAAUAAUAUAAAGUGAAAAAAAUAUCAAAUAAAAAAUUAAUAAAAAAAUAUGUAUCAUGACACCCAUUCAAUCACACAUAUGAUUGGCUUGUAGGGUACCUAUGAUUAGCACGAAUGAGCACUCCCCCAAUAGUGAACGAAGAUGCUUCAUUCUAUA
rnacentral:lncRNA from 1 species